CCCUUGAAGGACAAACGAUUGAUAACGAUAAGAUCCUGCAGGGGAAGUGAUGAUGCUAUGCAGUUUGUAUAAUUGUCAUAUUCUAGUGCCGUUGCAGCAUGACCUCAAAUGAAUCGCGAACUUUGAAAAACCAACGGUGUGAUGUCGCAAAUUUAACUCGCCAUUUUAAGAUUCCAGCUGUCCUUCGAAGGAUGUCGUUUCAUUGUACAGAAGGCUGUUGGUGUAAACUCAUUUGAAACUGCCAACAUCAGCAUUCGACGUUUGAAGAAUUCGAAUUCGUAAGCAAAGACGUAGAAUGUGAUGUAAACAGUCACAAUUGACGUUGAACGGUUACAAACAAAGGCAACUAAUUCCGAAUACUCCUCAAACUGGCAAGAUGACGUCGGUCAAAAUUUAUUUCCGUCAAACGGUGUUCGUAUCGUUAGUCGUCUCUCUUCUGUUUUACAGCGUUUAUGCACAGGAGGUUAUCGAACGCAAGGUUUGUGCUAAUGUAUAUGCCGCAGUUGGAAAAACUGUAUGUGAUGAUAAUGCAACAUGUUUGGAGGGUGACGGUGCUAUUUCAUGCGAAUGCGAGGAGGGCGCUCUUGGUGACGGCUGGGCUAUAAGCUCGGGCUGUGUUGAAGUUGAAGGUCCUGCUUUGGAUUAUUCAGGAGUAAGGGACAAAAGGUGGCUGGGCUCGUGGAGCAAAACUAAGGAAUUCGAAAAAAAGCCUUGCACUGGACGUCUGGCACUUUUGGGAGAAAUGAUCUGUCAUAGGAACGCAUAUUGUAUGCAAGGAUACUCAAACCACUUGUCCAUGAAAUGCCUUUGCAAAAAUGGCCUCUCUGGGAAUGGCUUCAGAAAUAUCUUCUCUUUGGGCUCUGGGUGCCAUUAAGGGUAAGGAGUAAAAUAUGUAUCAAGUAAAGGUCAUUGAGUGAUUGGUAUAAUAGUACAUACAUCUCAUUUGAUUGUUUAAGCCACGAUCUUAUUAGUAAUUCUCCUCACUGUCUGCUAUACAAUUCUCAAUGUGAGUUUGGAGAAUUUGGUAUUGGAUCAUCCAAUAAUCCCUAAUUGAUAUCCAAACUGUAGCCUCAGUUUGGGUAAAAAAAAGUGCAUGUCUAUUUAUCCACAGAUGUUAUCUGUUCCAAUAGGUGAAAGUGUUCAUGAACAAAGCCUGAGGAAAACUGUGAGCUUUGAGGAACAGAUAGUGUCGAAGGACAAAUAUAUGAGCAUAUUUUUGUACUAAAUAGAGGCUAUUGUGUUUAUUAACCUUCAAAUCUUCUUCAAUGUGUGGGGAAAAUGUUCAUGAACAGCUUACCGUUUAUGGCAUGCUGGACUGACUUCCCUUUCUGUUUUUCUUCUUUGAGUUGGACUAUCGCCUUUUUUGGGACCUGACUGUAAUUCUUGGUUUUAAACUGAUUUGUGUCUUAAAUAAAAAAUAAAGCUAUUGCCAA